rnacentral:lncRNA from 1 species
CACAGUAUUCCAUUGUGGGAGAAGAUUUCUUUCCCAGUCACCUGAAUUGGAUGUGUCAGUGGUCUCCUCCAGCUGUUAUUUUGAUGGAAAUCAUGAAUCGGCAACAUGCAGCCCUGCCAGCAGUCCUGAUGUCACCAGAUAAUGCAGGAAUCCAACAGGUCACACAGCCAGCUGCUGGUCACUGCUGCUUCUGGCCACCACUAUCUG